GAUGAACGCUGGCGGUAUGCCUAACACAUGCAAGUCGUACGAGAGUUUUUAACUCUAGUGGCGGACGGGUGAGUAACACGUGAGAAUUUACCUUUAGGAGGGGGAUAACAAUUGGAAACGAAUGCUAAUACCCCAUAUGCUUUUGAGUGAAAUGGAUUUAUAUUUAUCCGCCUAGAGAGAAGCUCGCGGCUGAUUAGCUUGUUGGUAAGGUAAGAGCUUACCAAGGCGACGAUCAGUAUCUGGUUUGAGAGGACGAUCAGACACACUGGAACUGAGACACGGUCCAGACUCCUACGGGAGGCAGCAGUGGGGAAUUUUCCGCAAUGGGCGAAAGCCUGACGGAGCAAUACCGCGUGAGGGAAGACUGCCUAUGGGUUGUAAACCUCUUUUUUCAGGGAGGAAUAAAAUGACGUUAC
rnacentral:rRNA from 1 species